GAUGAAGAACGUAGCGAAAUGCGAUAAGUAAUGCGAAUUGCAGAAUUCCAGUGAGUCAUCGAAUCUUUGAACGCACAUUGCGCCCAUUGGUAUUCCGAUGGGCAUGCCUGUUCGAGCGUCAUUACAACCCUCAGGCCCCCGGGCCUGGCGUUGGGGAUCGGCGGAGCCCCCCGUGGGCACACGCCGUCCCCCAAAUACAGUGGCGGUCCCGCCGCAGCUUCCAUCGCGUAGUAGCUAACACCUCGCGACUGGAGAGCGGCGCGGCCACGCCGUAAAACACCCAACUCUUCUGAAGUUGACCUCGAAUCAGGUAGGAAUACCCGCUGAACUUAAGCAUAUCAAUAAGCGGAGGA
rnacentral:misc_RNA from 1 species